ensembl:lncRNA
GUACAGAAUAUUUAUUUAGAAGUUCAUGUCGAGAGGUGUAAUUCUGUCUCUUAAUGUGAGGUUGAUAUAUGGAUCUAGAGAUACAUGCCGUAACACAAACACACACCGUUGCAUUGCCAAAGAGUUCUUUAUUUAAACCAAUAAAACAAUGUCUUUACUCAACACAUUGCUGGUACUCUUUCGGCAGUUAAUUUGAGUGUUUUUCCCAAUUUAUCACAUUAAACAUCCAGAGUAUCAAAUCAUUUAACAUUUAACACAUAACAAUAACCCAUACGGACAAACUGUGCUGCUUUUGAAGGCAUCACGAGACGAUCCAUCCUGACUGGCACAUCUCCCAUCCGUCUGCAGAAACAUCAUCGUCCGGUGCUGGAGCUCAUCUUCACAGCUGAGGACGAUGAUGAUGAUGAUGAUGGUGGUGAGGAAUGAGCUCUUCGCUCUUCAUGCAUCCUGAUAUUGUUUGACCAGUAACCACAUGAGCAGAACUGUGAUCAACACAAUCAUAAAGUUCAGAAACAGCUCCUGUGCGGAUCGGUCCAUCUGAGCCGUUUAGAGCAGAAACACGACAGCUGGAAGACUGGGGACGACCGGAGCUCUGGAUCAGACAGAGAGAGAGAGAGAGAGAGAGAGAUGUGAAAAUAGACAAGUAUGCUGGUCAUUUAGAAAUUAAGCCAGCCAUCUAUCCAUCCAUCUGUCUAUUCAUCCGUCCAAGUUUCACCCCCUGUUUGGCUUUGAAUCAAACGCAAAUCUAUCAUCAGUUUAACUGCUGUGACACACACACACACACACACACACACACACACUUACUGUCCCUAUCACAUAUCAUAGACUAUUGUUUUUAUAUAAAAUCAUUUCUAAUGAAUUAUAGACAAGAAAACCACAUUUUUAAAGGUUCAGAGGUUUUAAAGUCUCUUCUGCUCACCAAGGCUGUGUUUAUUUGAUCAAAAAUACUUAAAAAUAAUUGGGAAAUAUUAUUACAAUGUAAAACAGCUGUUUUCUAUGUGAAUAUGUGUUAAACUGUAAUUUAUUUCUGUGAUGUGCAGCUGUAUUUUCAGCAUCAUUACUCCAGUCUUCAGUGUCACAUGAUCUUCAGAAAUCAUUCUAAUAUGAUGAUUUGCUGCUCAAGAAACAUUUCUGAUUAUUAUCAAUGUUGAACACAGUUGUGCUGCACAAUAUUUUUGUGGAAACUGUGAUACAUUUUAUUUUUCAGGAUGAAUAGAAAGUUCAAAGUAGCAUUUAUUUAAAAUAGAAAUCUUUUGUGACAUUAUAAAGGACUUUACUGUCACUUUUGAUCAAUUGAAUGCAAUUUCUGUCAAAAAAAAGUGCUGAUUCCAAACUUCAGAACAGCAGUGUAACAUUUUUCAUCCCCAAAUGUCUCCAAACUAAGAUUUUGACAGAGGAGGUUAUUUUCUCCUCAAACUAAAACUACAAACACACCGUCAUUGAGCAGGAGCUUCUCCAACUACAGCACAGCAGAAUCUGAGUUUGCAUUAAUAAUGAAAUGCACGCUGCAAAACUGCAAAAGCUUGUCCAUGCAAUCAACACAAUGUCGUGUGACACAAUCCAGACGUGUCUGAAACCCCAGCAUGCAUUUCAAUGGACAAAGCAUUCAGUUAGGUGAAAGAGCAAAGACAGAAGAUCUUUCUGCAGAUGUGGCUCCAGCGCUUCUUACCUGCACAAGGUUCACCUGAAGUCUCUGUGAGUCCAGCUGUCACAUCCCUCAGCUCUUAAAGCAGCCACGCCGGACCGGAUUGGAGCAGCAGGGUCCAGCAGGGGGUGAGGUCACAGUAUUUAAACGUCUGCUGAGGGGUUGACUGGGUUCUGGAUCAGUGUCCAGCUGCUGCAGCUCUUCAGUGGGAUGAGGGCUAGCUGGCAUCUCUAUUGUCGGUGGUUUACAGACUGAUGCCUUUGAGCCCGAACACACGUGUGACAAGAGUGUGUAGAAAGAUCCCGUGUGUGUGUGUGUGUAUCUGUGUGUGUCUGUUUGUGUAUCUGUGUGUGUAUCUGUGUGUAUCUGUUUGUGUGUGUGUGUGUGUGUGUGUGUGUCUGUUUGUGUAUCUGUGUGUGUAUCUGUGUGUAUCUGUGUGUGUGUGUGUGUGUGUGUGUGUGUGUGCAUGUUUCUGUGUC